GAUGAACGCUGACAGAAUGCUUAACACAUGCAAGUCGAUUCGAUUUACCUUCGGGUAUUGAGGAUGGCGGACGGGUGAGUAACGCGUAAGGAACUUGCCUCUUGGUCUGGGACAACUGUUGGAAACGACAGCUAAUACCGGAUAUUAUGAGAUUCUCGCAUGGGAAACUUAUGAAAGCUAUAUGCGCCAAGAGAGAGCCUUGCGUUCCAUUAGCUAGUUGGUGGGGUAACGGCCCACCAAGGCGACGAUGGAUAGCCGGCCUGAGAGGGUGAACGGCCACAAGGGGACUGAGACACGGCCCUUACUCCUACGGGAGGCAGCAGUGGGGAAUAUUGGACAAUGGGCCACAAGCCUGAUCCAGCAAUUCUGUGUGCACGAUGAAGGUCUUCGGAUUGUAAAGUGCUUUCAGUUGGGAAGAAGAAAGUGACGGUACCAACAGAAGAAGCGACGGCUAAAUACGUGCCAGCAGCCGCGGUAAUACGUAUGUCGCAAGCGUUAUCCGGAUUUAUUGGGCGUAAAGCGCGUCUAGGCGGAAAAAUAAGUCUGAUGUUAAAAUGCGGGGCUCAACUCCGUAUUGCGUUGGAAACUGUUUUUCUAGAGUACUGGAGAGGUGGGCGGAACUACAAGUGUAGAGGUGAAAUUCGUAGAUAUUUGUAGGAAUGCCGAUGGAGAAGUCAGCUCACUGGACAGAUACUGACGCUNAAGCGCGAAAGCGUGGGGGAGCAAACAGGA
rnacentral:rRNA from 1 species